rnacentral:rRNA from 1 species
UACGUAGGUGGCAAGCGUUGUCCGGAUUUACUGGGCGUAAAGAGCGCGCAGGCGGCCGUGCAAGUCGCGUGUGAAAGCCCCCGGCUCAACUGGGGAGGGUCACGCGAUACUGCUCGACUUGAAGGCAGGAGAGGGAAGUGGAAUUCCCGGUGUAGUGGUGAAAUGCGUAGAUAUCGGGAGGAACACCAGUGGCGAAGGCGACUUCCUGGCCUGUUCUUGACGCUGAGGCGCGAAAGCUAGGGUAGCAAACGGG